rnacentral:rRNA from 1 species
AACGAACGCUGGCGGCAUGCCUAACACAUGCAAGUCGAACGAGACCUUCCGGUCUGGUGGCGCACGGGUGCGUAACGCGUGGGAACCUGCCCGUAGGUUCGGAAUAACUCCCCGAAAGUACUCCUAAUAGCGGAUAAUGUCUCCUGCCCAAAGGUGUAGCGCCGUUGGGUGGGCCCGCGUUGGAGUGGCUAGUUGGUAGGGUGAAAGCCUACCAAGGCGACGAGGCAUAGCUGGUCUGAGAGGAUGAUCAGCCACACUGGUACUGGGACACCGCGCAGACUCCUACGCGAGGCAGCAGUGGGUAAUAUUGGAAAGUGGGCGACAGCCUGAUCCAGCAAUGCUGGGUGAGUGAUGAAGGACUUAGGGUUGUAAAGCUGUUUUACACGGGAUGAUAAUGACAGUACCGGGAGAAUAAGCUCCGGCUAACUCCGUG